rnacentral:rRNA from 1 species
UACGUAGGUGGCAAGCGUUGUCCGGAUUUACUGGGCGUAAAGGGCGUGCAGGCGGUUUGUUAAGUCUAGGGUGAAAGCUCCCGGCUCAACUGGGAGAGGUCCUUGGAUACUGGCAGACUUGAGGAGAGUAGAGGAGAGUGGAAUUCCCGGUGUAGUGGUGAUAUGCGUAGAUAUCUGGAGGAACACCGGUGGCGAAGGCGGCAUUCUGGACCGACAUUGACGCUGAGGCGCGAAAGCCAGGGGAGCAAACGGG